rnacentral:rRNA from 1 species
AACGAACGCUGGCGGCAGGCUUAACACAUGCAAGUCGAACGGGUGUAGCAAUACAUCAGUGGCAGACGGGUGAGUAACACGUGGGAACCUUCCUAGGGGUACGGAACAACUCAGGGAAACUUGAGCUAAUACCGUAUACGUCUGUGAGGAGAAAGAUUUAUCGCCCUUAGACGGGCCCGCGUCGGAUUAGGUAGUUGGUGGGGUAACGGCCUACCAAGCCUACGAUCCGUAGCUGAUCUUAGAGGAUGAUCAGCCACACUGGGACUGAGACACGGCCCAGACUCCUACGGGAGGCAGCAGUGGGGAAUUUUGGAAAAUGGGCGCAAGCCUGAUCCAGCCAUGCCGCGUGAGUGAAGAAGGCCUUAGGGUUGUAAAGCUCUUUUACCAGGGACGAUAAUGACGGUACCUGGAGAAUAAGCCCCGGCAAACUUCGUGCCAGCCGCCGCUGUAACAC